rnacentral:misc_RNA from 1 species
GAUGAAGAACGCAGCGAAAUGCGAUAAGUAAUGUGAAUUGCAGAAUUCAGUGAAUCAUCGAAUCUUUGAACGCACAUUGCGCCCGCUAGUAUUCUGGCGGGCAUGCCUGUCCGAGCGUCAUUUCAACCCUCGGGAGCCCCUUUGCGGGGGCUGCCGGUGUUGGGGAUCGCCCGCCGCCAUGGUGGACGUCCCCUAAAACGACUGGCGGUCUCGCUGUAGCCUCCUCUGCGCAGUAGCACUUGUUCUCGCAGGCGGAGCGCGGCGCGGCCAAGCCGUUAAACCCCCAACUUUUUUACUAGGUUGACCUCGGAUCAGGUAGGAAUACCCGCUGAACUUAAGCAUAUCAAUAAGCGGAGGA